CGUCACCGGAAUUUACGGUGCCGGUCAGUUUUGGGUUCCUAAUUUACUUGGUGAUAAUUACAUCCGGUAAGCUGUUUCUGGGAGACAUUAUUUCCCGCGCGUCUGGGACGCACAGAUCCAUUUGAAGACCCUCUACAGCGUCAGGGACGCUUCGUCUUCCAUAUUUUCGUGGUGCAAAGGCGCAACGAUGUAUGUCUUUUUUCUUACACCUACAUAUUUGUAAUAUUUUCUGAUUAUUUAUUUAAAACUUCAUUCGAGAUUUUUGGCAAGUGUGUAUGAAAGUGCAGUGUGUGAUAAAUUUUUCUAAUUAUAUUAGGUAUAGUAAGAAUGUCUAUAUGUUGUUAAAUUUCAGUUGUUACCGUCAAUUUCCUGCUAUAUUGGCUGAAUAAAGAAUGUAAAAAGCUGGGCGUUUUACUUCAACAUACAAAAUGGCCCUGUGGCAGAACAGUAACAAAUCGUUUUGUUUACCACCUCAACCAUUCUGAGAGUCGAUUGCAGCCUAUCCUGGGGAUAAGACGACUUUCUGGUGGACAGCAGAUUCCUGUGAAGCUGGGAUUUCCAACCAACUACCCCCCCCCCCCCCCAUUUUGGUCCAUACCUUCGCUGGAGGAUUUUUCGUGGUAUUUGUGGUGCAUGGUGUUUCUGGACAUCGUGUGUAUAUGUGCAAACACUAGUGACAUAUCGGUAACUUUAUAUCAAAUAAUAUGUUGACAUUAUUUGAAAUGAACAAUAGUACAGAUAUUAUAGAUUGAUCAUGAUCAUAUGCUAUGUCAAAUAUUUUUUCUGGUCCAUUGGUGUUGAAUAUUUUCUCAAUACCAGAUAACUCUGUUCUAUGCAUCAGUACUUCGAAAGGAAGCAUUAAUUUUCACGUAUUUGUGGUGUGCAUUGAAUUUGAAAGUUAAUUGUGCAUUUUUUCUCAUCUAACAUGUCUAAUGCCAUUUUUAGCAUGUGUAUAUAUUUUCAAAAUUUCAUGGCAUAAUUUCAUGUGAAAAUCACUACAGUAUUAUCAGUAUGGCAUCUGGUGGAAAACCCAUACCCAUAGUUGACGAGGAGGAAAGUGAAGAGGAGACUGUUCUUUCAGAGGAAGGUGAGGGAAAACGACUGAAAACGCAGACAAAGAAAGGCAUGGAACAGUUUUUGACAUUUCUUAAGAAAUAUAGUUCUCAAGAACAAAAGGCAUGGACAAUGAUUGAAGAAAUCUUAGUUGAUAUAGAUGAAAAUAUAGACCAGAAGAAUUUUAAAGACUUACGCAAGAUUAAAGCAGAGCUUCAGAAAUUUAAACGUACUUACUUUGAUUGUGCAAAUGACUUUCUUUCAUUUCUUAAAAGAACAAACACAAGAGAAAGUAAUGAAGAAUUUUCUGUUCAAGAACCAAGAUUUCGUAAACGUUCUGACAUCAUAGAUCAGCUCAUGAACCGUAUUGAGGACGCCCUUCUGGACGCAGCAGACACCAUAUCACGAGCAAGUGGUUCCGAAGGAUCCCGAUCACAGAGUAGAAGUUCUGUCAGUGAAAUGUCAAAGUCUCGUGUUCUGUUAAGACAGAAGGCAGAAGCAGAAAAAGCUAAAUUAGCUUUCGUCAGACAGCAAGUUGACCUUCAAACCGAGAAGUCAAAAAUUGAAGGACAAAUACAAAUUCUGAAUCAAACGUGUUCAGCAGCAAUCGCGGAUGCAGAAGCCAAAGUGUUCGAAAGAGAAGAAAGUGAAACCAAAAGUGAAAGAAAUUCCAUCUUAGAUGAACUACCCAAAGACAGAGGUCAGCGUGUUGCAGAUUAUGUGGAAAGUGUUUCUCGAGAUCAAGAAUCAAGUGUUAGAUCACAUGUGAACCCAAAAAUCGUUCAACCAAUUCCCUCAAGUUAUAACUUUGAUGUUCCUUUAACUCGACCAAAGGAGGAUUCAGUGGAAACUGUGACUAAAUUCUUGUUAAGGAAGGAAGUGUUGUUAUCCCGGUUUAGUAACUUUAAUGAUGAACCAGAGGCUUACAACGCAUGGAAACUAAACUUUACCUCAAUCAUAAAGGACCUGCAGAUUUCAGAAUUCGAGGAACUUCAGUUACUUGUGAGAUGGCUAGGACCGGAGUCCUCUAAACAUGCAGCGGACAUCCAACAAGCAAACGCCGGAAAUCCUGGAAGGGGACUACGUCAGAUUUGGGCAAGAUUAGAUGAGAGAUAUGGGGCAAUCGAACUCAUCGAUGAUUCAUUAAAAUCGAAGUUGGCCGCUUUUCCGCAACUUAUGAUAAAGGACCCUAAAGAACUUUACAAACUGUCUGAUCUACUGACACAAGUGGAUGGUGUGAAGAAAAACCCUAAAUAUUCAGCAGCAUUAUCCUAUUAUGACACCUCUCUUGGAAUUGCACCAAUAGUAAGCAAACUUCCGUAUCAAUGGAGAGAAAAAUGGAUCAACAGGGCCUCAGAAUAUAAGGAGCGUCAUAGUGUUCCAUACCCACCAUUUACAUACUUUGUGAAAUUUAUACAAGACUUAUGUCGUGUGAGAAACGACCCUGGAUUUCAGUUCAGUGAACCAACAAAGAAAGAGACUAAAACCAAAAACACUGGACAGAUUCGUUCAAGAAAAACUGAUGUUAAGCCUAGCAAGUCAACAGGACAAAGAAAAUCAUGCUUUUUAGAACAUAGAGUUGAAUCCAAUCAUAAUAUCAAAGACUGCCGUAAGUUUCGUACCCUUCCUAUCGGUUCAAGGAAAAAGCUUCUCAAGGAAAAUGGAAUUUGCUUUAGAUGUUGUGAUUCCAAAGAACACUUAGCAAGAGACUGUAAUGUGAAAUUAAAGUGUGACAUGUGUCAAAGUGAUAGACAUUGUGGUGCCUUACAUGUUAACAGUUCCCAGGGCGGGGAGGAUAAGGAAAAUUCGCAUGGCGGGGAGAACAGUAUAUCAUCUUUUACAACUAACUGUACUCAAGUCUGCUCACCCGCAUUCAGUGGCAAAUCUUGUGCAAAGAUUAUUUUAGUGAACAUCUUUCCAGUUGGCUGUGAAGAUUUAAAGAAAAGAGCAUAUGUGAUUCUCGACGACCAAAGCAGCAGGACACUUGCGAAGUCAUCAUUCUUUGACAAGUUCGGAAUCAAGGGACAAGAAAUUUCAUAUACAUUGUCAUCAUGCGGUGGUUCGGCCAUGGUCUCCGGGAGACAAGCCUUUGAUUUCGUUGUAUCUUCAAUACAGAGUGGCGAACAAAUACACUUACCAUCAAUUAUUGAAUGUGAUGACAUCCCUGUUUCAUACGAGGAGAUUCCAACCCCAGCUGUAGUUAAACCAUACAAACAUUUAUCAGACUUGGAGUCUGAGAUCCCACCAAUAGACGAUAAAGCAGAAGUGAUUCUUAUUGGACGGGAUGUUCCCAGUGCUCAUCAUGUGCUGGAACAAAAGAUUGAUAAACCAAACCUACCUUUCGCACAGCGACUUCCCUUAGGCUGGGCCGUUAUAGGAGAAUGUUGCCUAGGUAGAGUACACAGACCUCAACAUGUGGUUGUGAACAAGACUCAGAUUUUACCGUCUGGACGAGGAACUCAUUUUACCCCAUGUUCAUCAAAUCUGAGAAUUUCAACAUAUCAAGAUGAUACAGACAUUCAGUGUUCGUGUGAGAAUGGAAUUCAGCUUUCUCAGAUCUUUGAACGCACCAAAGACGAUAACAUUCCAGGAAUGUCAAUCGAGGACAGAGAAUUCUUAGAAAUCAUGAAGAAAAAGUGUCAUAAAGAUGAGAAAGGACAUUGGUCAGCUCCGUUACCAUUCAAGUUAAACAGAAAUAGACUACCUAACAACAGAGAACAAGCGUUGAAAAGGACUUAUUCACUGCUGAAAACUUUUAAGCGUGAUCCUGUGAAAAUGAACUUAGCCAUAAAGUUUAUGGAAAAUGUGUUUGAUAAUGGAUUUGCAGAGGAAGCUCCAGAGGUCCAAGAGGGAGAAGAAUGUUGGUAUCUUCCCAUAUUCCCAGUAUUCCAUCCAAAAAAGCCCAACAAGGUCCGUAUGGUUUUUGACUCUUCAGCCAUUUAUCAAGGACAUUCCUUGAACUCUUCCUUACUUCAAGGACCGGAUCUUACUAACAAUCUACUCGGCGUACUUUUGCGUUUUCGUAAGGAGCGUGUCGCCAUCACUGGAGAUAUAGAACAGAUGUUUCAUAUGUUUCACAUUGAUGAAGAACACAGAAAUUUCGUUCGUUUCAUAUGGUUUAGAGACAAUGAUCCUACCAAGUCUCUUCAAGACUACAGAAUGUGUGUACAUCUAUUCGGGAAUUCACCGUCACCCGCUGUCGCCACAUAUUGUCUCCACAAAUGUGUAGAAGAACCUUGUGAUAGUGAUGUGAAAUAUUAUGUUACAAGAAACUUCUAUGUUGAUGAUGGACUGUCGUCUUACGAUACAGACAAUGAAGCUUUAGAUAUUUUGUUAAGAACACAGAAAAUUCUAAGAGAUAGAGGUAAAAUUAGAUUUCACAAAUUUGCCUCCAACAGCCAAAUUGUUAUGGAUGCUUUGCCACCAGAGGAUAGAGCAAAGGAUUUAAGCGAUGUACAUUUAGAUCUACAUACAACUCCUGCACAGAGUAGUUUGGGCUUAAUCUGGAAUUUAUCACUAGAUGCUUUUAUCUUCUCAACAGAUCUCAAAGAUUUACCAGAAACAAAGCGUGGUGUGCUAUCUUGUUUACAUAGCCUGUUCGAUCCUAUAGGAUUCCUGUCACCUGUCAUUUUGGCUGGAAAAUUUAUUUUUCGUGACAUUACACAGUUACAACUUGGAUGGGACGAUCCUCUUCCUAGAGACAUAAUUCUGCGUUGGCGGUCAUGGCGAAGCUCUCUUCAUCACCUAUGCAAUGUGAAGAUACCUAGGCGAUAUGUUGCAGUAUCUAUGAAAAAUGCUGAAAAGAUCGAGCUCCACACCUUUGCGGAUGCAUCUGAAAAAGCUAUAUCUGCUGUUACCUACAUCAAAGUUACAAACACAGGAGAAACCUACAUAGGAUUUGUAACCGGAAAAUCUAAACUAGCUCCUCACCAUGGACAUACAGUUCCAAGGUUAGAACUAUGCGCAGCUCUUCUUGCAACAGAAAUUGCUUCAUUUGUCGAGCGUCAACUUGAUACACAGAUUCAUGAUAUGCAGUUCUACUCUGACAGUCGUGUCGUAUUAGGAUACUUAUAUAACAAGACCAGACGAUUUCACACGUACGUGUCAAACCGAGUCCAACGGAUACUUACAAAUUCAAAAUCAGAACAGUGGACCUUUGUGAAAUCAGACCAGAAUCCAGCUGAUAUAGGAACACGUUCUGUUUCUGCAAACAAACUUGCAACAUCUGUGUGGUUAACUGGGCCAAAGAUUACUUUGGAUCAUAAUCAACAAGAUUAUUCAAAAUACCCGUUAUUGGACCCUGAUAAUGACUGUGAAAUUAGAAGGACUGUCACUGUAGUUAAGACAAGUGUACUUCAUGGAUUGAACUCAAAUGUGUUCAUAAGAUUUUCCACCUGGGAUUCUCUAAUUCGUGGACUAUCAUUCAUGCGUAAUGCUAUUCGCCAGAAAAUCAACCUUGAAAAGCUCAGUCAAACAAAGCUUUACCAAAGUAUGGAGAAGAUUGUUAUCAAAAGUGUACAGUUUGAAGCUUAUGGACAGGAUAUAGAAAGACUUAAGGAGCACAAACCAGUCACCAAAGGUAGUCCGCUACAAAAACUAGACCCUUAUCUGGAUAACGAAGGUCUGCUACGUGUAGGAGGCAGAAUUCUCACCGGAGAUGUACUGGCUGGAUCCAACGGACCUAUUAUUGUUCCGAAAAAGUCGCAUGUAGCAAGAUUGCUUAUAAAGCACCAUCAUCUGAAAUGUAAACAUCAGGGACGUCACCUCACUGAAGGCGCUGUGAGAUCUGCAGGUUACUGGGUAAUGGGUGCCAAGAGACUUAUUUCAUCAUUAUUAAACUCGUGUGUAAUUUGUAGAAAGUUACGACGUAAACUUGAAACACAGAAAAUGGGAAAUAUACCUGACUUUCGAUGCAAGCCAUCACCACCGUUCACGUAUGUGGGAGUAGACACCUUUGGGCCCUGGGAGGUGACAGCUAGAAAAACUAGAGGAGGAGUUGCUAAUGCUAAAAGAUGGGCAAUCUUAUUUACAUGUUUGACGAGCAGAGCAGUACACAUAGAGCUGGUGGACGAGAUGACAUCCAGUGCCUUUAUCAAUUCCCUCAGGCGUUUUGUAGCAAUGCGCGGUAAAGUCACUGAGUUUUAUUCAGAUAGAGGAACUAAUUUUGUUGGAAGUACAGAUGCACUUAACAUCAAUGCAAUCAACAUAGAAUCUCCAACCCUGAAGAAGUAUAUGGUGGAAAAUGGCUCUACUUGGAUAUUUAACCCCCCACAUGCAUCCCAUAUGGGAGGGAUAUGGGAAAGGAUCAUUGGAACAGCGCGCAGAAUUCUUAAUGCUAUCAUCAUGGAGUCAAAGAAACCACUUACACAUGAUGUUUUGAAUACAUUUAUGUAUGAAGUUUGUGCUAUUAUCAAUAAUCGACCAUUAGCGAACGUGUCGGUAGAUCCAACACAGCCAUCAGUUCUUUCCCCUUCAGUAUUGCUGACACAAAAGACCGAAGUUGAUUAUGGACCAUUUCAAGCAGUUGAUGUGAAGGACAUGUACAGAUCAUCAUGGAAACACACACAACUAUUAGCCAACCAGUUCUGGAAAAGAUGGCAGCAAGAAUACCUUUACAGUCUUCAAACCAGGCAGAAGUGGACUUAUUCUAAGGAAGACAUCAAAGUUGAUGACGUAGUACUCUUAAAGGAUUCUGACACCGUUAGAUACGAAUGGCCAAUGGCAGUUGUUCAACGUACCUUCCCAAGUAAAGAUGGACAUGUUCGGAAAGUAGAGCUACGCACCGUUAGAAACGGAACUUGUAUUACUUAUGUGAGACCUAUCACCGAGAUAGUUCACUUAUUUACACCUUAAGAAGAGUGACAUUAUAGAACGUCAGGCGGGGAGUGUAACGUCACCGGAAUUUACGGUGCCGGUCAGUUUUGGGUUCCUAAUUUACUUGGUGAUAAUUACAUCCGGUAAGCUGUUUCUGGGAGACAUUAUUUCCCGCGCGUCUGGGACGCACAGAUCCAUUUGAAGACCCUCUACAGCGUCAGGGACGCUUCGUCUUCCAUAUUUUCGUGGUGCAAAGGCGCAACGAUUUGUUACCGUCAAUUUCCUGCUAUAUUGGCUGAAUAAAGAAUGUAAAAAGCUGGGCGUUUUACUUCAACAUACAAAAUGGCCCUGUGGCAGAACAAUUGGGGUUUACUGAAACCGUUCGACCAAUCAAACAUUACAAAGCAUAUCAGAUUUAAUCAACAAUGUUUUCCUUAUGUUUAUUCACGAGUGUCUCUACUAUGAAUAGCUCAAAACCCUUAUUUUUCUCGUCUUUCUGUUUGAGUCUUCAUAAUGCAUGUAUCGAUUAUUCAAUGGUGCAAAAAAAAGUACACCAUAUUGUUUAUCAACAGAGGUGUGCACUCGUAGAUUGAGGAUUUACCACUCACAGUCUUUUGAUCACCUUUCGAAUGAAUUCAAUCCAUAUGUAACAUUUCACAUUAUUCCUUUUUAUUGAAUACACU